UUUAAAGGAUAAAAUAAAAGAGCUGUAGCUAUUGGGGUUUAACUGGCUUUGAUUAGAUCAUAAGGAUUUUUUUUUUUUUUUUGGACGAAACUAUGCAAGAACUAGAACGAGCGGUGCCUUCUCCAAUUUUGACCACGAGAUGGCGCCAGGGAAGCAGUACAUGUUUCAGGAGACUGAACCUUGAUGAUUCCGAUUUGAAAAAGAAGAUUCUUCCCGGCUAACAGAUUCCCAUGGAGUCAGGCUGGUCUCUUGCAACUGGGCCCAUUUUGCAUUGGUUCUACGUGAAGAAAACGCCACGCCGAGCAAAUCACGUCCCCCGCUUCUGCUUCUGCUCUUCCCGUCAUGCUGCGUCGAUACCCACAUCCUUUUCCAUUUCCCAAACUGAAGUUCCAGCGUCUCCUGUCCAGGUAGCGCGGUGCGGGCCAGCGAAAGGUCCAGAUGUAAGGCAGUUCCUUACACCUGCUUUCAGCCUCCAAGCCGUCCUCAGGGGAACCGCUGGUCUCAGCAGCCACAGGCGCUGGGGACACUGUGGUUUCCGGGGAGCUGACGACACGGAAGUGUGCGCAGCCGCCUGGGUAAGGAGGAGAGCAGGAGCCCCAUUAUCACAAUUUCAACAGCACAGAACACAGCGAAAUUCACGGUGAAUCGCGCAGAGGGAAGGCUUGGCUGAAGGAACUCCAUCGGAUCAAAGUCUCCGGAGCCCACAACCAAGAAGCAGUAAUGUUGUUGUUCUCCGUGGACUCUGCAAGUGACGGCGUUCAGAUUUCUCCAGCAGAGGCGGAGCCGACCCUGAUGUAAUGUUGCUGUCCUUCUUUCUUUUAGCUUUAAGCAGAGUCCACCAAGAGGCUGUGACACGCCGGCAAUGCCUAAGUCCACACUUCAGGUGUGGUAAAGUUGUGGCGUGUGGACUCGUUAGUGUCUGGUCAGGCUUCCCUUUUUCCUGGAGUUUGGAGAACAGAAAUGGCCUUAGAUGAACAUAGCCUCCCACCUCCACGAUACCAGCUCACCAGACUGAAUCUACCCGUCAGGUAUCUGUGGACGUGAUUUCAUCUCGUGUUUGUCCUUUGAGUCCACGUGAACUAUGGGUCGCAGCCCAGCGUCACGACCCCCAGCCAUCACACUGCUAAAACGGGCUCCCUCCCGCAAAUCUUGCAUUAUGACCUUAAUCAGCAUUGAAAUUUAGGGAAACAUUGGGCUUAUUUUGAAGAGUAUUUUUAGUAGUUAAAUAAUUUAGACAAAGACAAUUUCUUGUUAAUAGAGUUAUCACACUGGUCAAUAAAAAGUUUUAGAAUCUUAUGUAAUUAACCAGGAGUGUAUGUUACAGACUUUUUAGAAUAAGCCUUUGAUCUAUUAUUUGAAAUUAAGCAUGCGUUUAUUAAGAAUCUGUUAUCAUUUGACAGCUGGUGUACGAGUGGAAUACACAGAGGCUCUGCUCCCGGUCACCACAGUGUGGCCUCCUUACCUCACACACGACCGUAGCAGCCCGUGGAGAAGCUUCGCCACAGCAUGACCAAAGCUGACUUGGAGAAGCCGUCAGCAACAAGUGAGACGGAGUCUUACACUUAGUUGUGGACCUCUGAUUUUCCCCUGACUUCUUUCUGGUUUUCCCCCUUCCCUUGCCAACUGCCC
rnacentral:lncRNA from 1 species